rnacentral:rRNA from 1 species
GACGAACGCUGGCGGCGUGCUUAACACAUGCAAGUCGAGCGGAGCGGCGAACGGGUGAGUAACGCGUGAGUAACUGCCCCCCUCUCUGGGAUAACAGUUGGAAACGGCUGCUAAUACCGGAUAGUGGGGGAUGACUCUCGUCCUAUCCGCUUGUUGGUGGGGUAGUGGCCUACCAAGGCGACGACGGGUAGCCGGCCUGAGUGGGCGACCGGCCACAUUGCGUGGAUGUACGGCCCGAACUCCUACGGGCGGCAGUAGUGGGGAAUAUUGCCCAAGGGGGGAAACCCUGAUGCAGCACCGCCGCGUGCGGGAUGACGGCCUUCGUGUUGUAAGCCGCUUUCAGCCAUGACGCGGUAGUGGCAGAAGAAGCACCGGCUAUCUACGUGCCAGCAGCCGCGGUAAUUC